rnacentral:lncRNA from 1 species
UUUAUCUUUUAGCAGUUCUAUACUACUGGUUGUAGUGUUGUAUGAUUAUAGGUACAGGUGCAGCUAUCGCUUCGUAUACAGAAAAAAUUUCUUUGUAUACGGUGGAUUUGUCGGCGUGCCCGAAAAAACGAGUAAUCCGGGGCAUGACAUUAAUUUAAGAUCGGAGUUAUUGAUCUUUAUCUAGAUAGUGAAUAGAAUUUUCUAUCAAAAAUUCAACAGAUUUUGAUUCUUUUACAUCGUUAAACUAACAAGUAUUCUAUACCGGCCGUUAAAAAUUGUCAACUUUGAGAUCUUUUGAUCGCAAGAUAAAUGAUGUCAAAAAAUUAUAAAAU